rnacentral:rRNA from 1 species
UGGGGAAUCUUCCACAAUGGGCGAAAGCCUGAUGGAGCAAUGCCGCGUGUGUGAUGAAGGGUUUCGGCUCGUAAAACACUGUUGUAAGAGAAGAAUGACAUUGAGAGUAACUGUUCAAUGUGUGACGGUAUCUUACCAGAAAGGAACGGCUAAAUACGUGUCAG